GAGCUACCACUUGCCUAUGCUGGCCUUGGAAAGAGGAUGCUAAAUCUACCGGACAACUUAUUGCACAGUGAGACUAUGGCUUCGGUUGAGGAAGAAUUUCCCAAACUGAAAACAUUAAAAGGAGGCUGGAUGUUUUUCAAGUCAGCAGGUGGUAGUGGACGUCGAAAGCUGUCCAUAAUCCCUACUGACUCCGAGGGGUACUCCACAAGGCUCCUCAAAACAGCGUCCAACAAU